rnacentral:sRNA from 1 species
UUUGCAAAUUGUACUUCAGGGAGUGAGAAUUGACGUUCCGUUUUUGAUGAAAAUUAGGAAGCAUUAAAGUGUUUUUGUCGUCUUAUUUAUAGAAUAAGCUUGCUUGGUUGCUUUUGGAUAUUGUUUUAAUUAUUAAAUUGAAUCGAAUUGAAAUGAAAAAAAAAUAACAGUAAAAAAAAAUACAUUAAUUUUUCUUGCCUUCUCCUCCACCGUCUUCCACGUAAGUCUUUUUCCUUCUAUCAGCUCUGGCAAGAACGCAAAUGAGGAGAAAACACGUGGCAUAAAUCCCGUGGAUCUUCCAAUUCGUCUUCGGCGGUUGCUGCAAGACCACCCUGUGAAACACCGUCACGUAGUAAUGCAGCCCAACAGCGAAGCCCACCAAGACCUGGGCCAGGCCCAAGAACUUGGAGCCCAGCCCACAGUCGGUGGAGAAGACGAGGACGAGAUACAUGAGGAGGAGGAGCAAAUAGAGCACGUAAGCGAGAGUCUGCAGCACCUGCAGGCACAGAUACGUGGACUGCGAAGUAGAGUAUAGAAACUUGAGUGGUUCGAGACCCGUGAACAACGAUGUGACGCAGAGAACGGUGAAGUAGAUUGAGAGGUAGACUUGGAUGAAGAUCAAGAUUUUCUGGAGGGAGAAAUAGGCUUUGAUUCUUGAGCAGAGGAGAGAAACUAAGAGCAAAGGUAUCAAUACGAAGAAGCACGAGAUAACGGCAGCGACGGCUUUGGAAGUGGUCGAGAUUCGUUCGAGGUCGGGGAGGAGUGUUUGGUGGAAUCUAUUCGGUAGAUCUGUGAACUCUGAAACCAAAUCAUCAUCCUCGUCCAGAAUCCAACUCGGCGGUGUCUGUUUCGUAGGUUUCUUCUUGGUUUGUUGCUGCGGAGUCUUUUGUUUCUUGUCUGUUGCCUCGUGACUUUGAUCUGCUUUUGUUGUUUUAGCUUGCUUGUUGUUCUUGUUUGCUUCGUCUUUAGUGGCGGUGGCUUUCGCUGUUUUGUUACUUGCUUUGGCGAGAUCCAAUGAUUUUGAAGUGGAAGAAACUGUGUUGGGUUUUGAUGUAGGGGAUUUUGAGGUGACGUUGAGCUUCUUGAUCUUUGUGGCGGCGGUGGAGUUGUUGAGUUUCUUGAGGGCAGUAUCGGUGGUAGGUUUGGUUUUGGAAGUGGAAUUAAGCUUGAGUGGCCUGGUUUGGUUUUUGGUGGAGGUGUUGAUGGGUAAUUUUGUGGUUUUGGUUUGGUUUUUGGAGGAAAGGAUAUUGGAUUUGAGGGUUUUGGUUUGAUUUUUUGAGGAAAUGUUGUCGGAUUUGAUGGUCUUGGUUUGAUUCUUUGAAGAUAGAGCAGUGGGUUUGAUGAGUUUGGUCUGAUUUUUGGUGGAUUGAGUGGUGGUUUUCUUUUUGAAAGGCUUGUCUAGCUCUUCUUUUUCUGCACCCAACAUUUUUCUUGUAGCAGACAAGUGUGUAGACUCACAUUGAGGUUCCAAAGAAGAACUGAUGCAAAUGGAGAUAGAAAGUAAUAACACAGCAGAGAACAGUAGUACCUUGCUGAGAUUGAGUUGAGCCAUUGGUAUUCCUGGUUUUUGCUUCAAGAUCUACGAACAGAGGCUCCCUAAGAUCUAGCUAUAUAGUAAUUAAUACAUAGAAGGGUCACAUGCGAAUUUAAUAGCAUCAGAUUUGGGAAGUGAUAGAAAGAACGAAAGGAGGGGAAGGGUAGUGUGAUAAGGAUGGGUAGGAUUUUAUAGUUUGAAGUUUGCACUAUGGGUGAGUGAGUGAGUGAGUGAGUGAAGUGGAAAAAAUGAAGUUAGUCUUAGUAUAAGUGUUAGAGUGGAAUUCUGUGCUGCCAAAGUGGUAUAGGAGACAGAGACCCAUCACAUUGCGCGUUUCAGAUGUUACAAUUUCACUGCCUAUCUAUGCUCGUUUAAUCUCCACCGUCUAUAAUAUUCUUUCUCAUCCUGAUUUUUGUGAUGGCCCAGUCAACGGCUCAGAUUCAUGUGAACCAUGUCUGCACCAAAAGCCUCGAUAAGAGGAUCAAAAGGGUUCAAUUAUUUACUUUUUGUUAUACGCGUCCCAUUUUUAUAUUUUGGAUAAAUUAAGUGAAAAAUCAUCCACUUGAUAGAGUUCAGAC